AUUGAACGCUGGCGGCAGGCCUAACACAUGCAAGUCGAACGGUAACAGGAAACAGCUUGCUGUUUCGCUGACGAGUGGCGGACGGGUGAGUAAUGUCCGGGAAACUGCCUGUUGGAGGGGGAUAACUACUGGAAACGGUAGCUAAUACCGCAUAUCGUCGCAAGACCAAAGAGGGGGACCUUUGGGCCCCUUGCCCUCGGAUGUGCCCAGAUGGGAUUAGCUAGUAGGUGGGGUAAAGGCUCACCUAGGCGACGAUCCCUAGCUGGUCUGAGAGGAUGAGCAGCCACACUGGAACUGAGACACGGUCCAGACUCCUACGGGAGGCAGCAGUGGGGAAUAUUGCACAAUGGGCGCAAGCCUGAUGCAGCCAUGCCGCGUGGAUGAAGAAGGCCUUCGGGUUGUAAAGUCCUUUCAGCGGGGAGGAAGGGAGUAAGGUUAAUACCUUUACUCAUUGACGUUACCCGAAGAAGAAGCACCGGCUAACUCCGUG
rnacentral:rRNA from 1 species